UACGGGGGGGGCAAGCGUUGUUCGGAAUUACUGGGCGUAAAGGGCUCGUAGGCGGCCAACUAAGUCGGACGUGAAAUCCCCAGGCUCAACCUGGGAACUGCGUCCGAUACUGGAUGGCUUGAAUUCGGGAGAGGGAUGUGGAAUUCCAGGUGUAGCGGUGAAAUGCGUAGAUAUCUGGAGGAACACCGAUGGCGAAGGCAGGUCUCUGGGCAUUAACUGACGCUGAGGAGCGAAAGCAUGGGGAGCGAACAGG
rnacentral:rRNA from 1 species